CUUUUUUUUAUUUUUUGUUCCUCCCCACUGCUUUUCACGAUUUUGUUCACCCAAAAGUCCAAAACCCUUAGAGGCCUCUGCGUUCUUUUUCUCUUUCGCCCUCCUCGUCGUCUUUUAUCUUCCAUCACCGUUCCUUGAAGCAACAAGCGAUUGUAGAUUGACGUUUCGGAAUUGGCUAUUGCUGCUCUAGAUUGAAGAUAUCAAAAGUGGCGAAAUCCAGUUCUGAAUGGGAGAGAAGAACCACGAUUCAAGAGAUAAAACAAUGAUUCAAGAGAGCCUUUUCUGCUCCAGGGACUGAGAAACUUUGCUACCAGAUAAGCUUGAUUAUCUGCAGAACACUCACAUGAUUAAUGGGAGCAGUGACAUAUAUUCCCCUUGAGUCCCUUCAAUAUUUAGAAUGGAACGAAGCGCUAGGAAGUUGAAACAGGGAAUGUUUUUAUCAUCCUCUACCUUUCUUUGAUGAUUUUGUAGCACCAAAUCUUUUAGAUUUGAUGAUUUGUUUUCUCCACCAUGACUUAGGCAAGAGCCGUAUUAGAAGCACCAGAGUUUUGAUACCGGGAUCCACAUGGCAUAACGCGCAAGCUAGGGAAACAAAAUGGGGGAAGAGGAUGGUAGAUAGAAGGAGAAUGGUAGAUAAAAGGAUGGCAUGAAGGGCAUAGAUUGAAGUUCUUUCGGACUGAUUUGGACAAUUAAAUUAAAUACUAGAUAGAUUUUAGAUUGCUUAAACUAUUAGUUCUUUUUGGAGAUUCAUUAGUUUUCUUAAUUGAUGUUUUUAUAUUAUAACAAUGGUUUUUGUUAUUAGAAUGAUUGUUAUGGAUAUUUUAUUUUAAUAAUAAGUUAAAGUUAAUUCGAAAAAAAUGUUUUCUAUUUGUAU